GUACUGAAGCGUGAUAAAUCAUCAAAACUUUUUUUGAGGAAAAGUUUCCAAAAUUCAGGCAAGAUGUAACUCAGAAUAUCGUAUCUCAACGAGGCUGCUUGUUCAGCUUUCUGAGAAACGUUUGGCGUGAUUCCGUCACUUGGGAAUGAAAUUUAUUCUUCUCGGUUUGACAUUUAAACUGAAUCAUAUAUGCAAUGAAUAUCUUUACGCCCAAUAUUCACUUUUUUAUACCACCUUGAAGCUCCUUUUUUUUUUUCAUAUUUUCAGAGUCCGUCUAUUAUUCUCACGUAUCAAAACACGAGUCUGCUUUUAGUCCCAAUUUAUGAAGCAUUUUCAACAUACUGAUGCGUUUUGUUUUAUCAAUUUUUAUUCCAGAAAUUAUAUUUCAUAGAUCUCUUCAGACGCUUUUGAAACCUGUCAAAGUUUCCCCAAUUUUUGACAAGUAUUUUGGCCAAUAGCUCACCCCCAAGCAAGCUAAUGCGGCGUCAAAUGCUGCGUGAUUUGAUCUGUUUUUAGCAAUUUAAUAAAAAGUAAUUUAGGAGCAAC
rnacentral:misc_RNA from 1 species